rnacentral:rRNA from 1 species
CAGCAGCCGCGGGAAUACGUAGGGUGCAAGCGUUAAUCGGAAUUACUGGGCGUAAAGCGUGCGCAGGCGGUUAUAUAAGACAGAUGUGAAAUCCCCGGGCUCAACCUGGGAACUGCAUUUGUGACUGUAUAGCUAGAGUACGGCAGAGGGGGAUGGAAUUCCGCGUGUAGCAGUGAAAUGCGUAGAUAUGCGGAGGAACACCGAUGGCGAAGGCAAUCCCCUGGGCCUGUACUGACGCUCAUGCACGAAAGCGUGGUGAGCAAACAGGAUUAGAUACCCCGGUAGUCCCUGUCUCUUAUAC